CCCUAUCCCAUUGGCUGGGAUCCCUUUCCCCACCUAUUCUGUACCCAGUAUAAGAUCCCUGGACCCUCCCACCAAUUGGCCUCUUCAUCCCUGUCUUUUCACUGGAAUAAACCUGCGUGGAACACAUACAGAGAGUCCUCUCUCUUUACUUCUUUGCCUUCGCCUGUGUGCCUGCUUAAGAGUGACAGAAGGAUACAGCCCCUUUUGGAUGCUGCAGAGAAGUGGUACAAGAGAUGCCUACACAGUUGCAGAAGAAGCUUCACCCAAACCCCAGGCUGAGGAUCGGUGAGUUCAGCCUUCCGUCACUGCUAUGUAACUGCUGUAACUGCUUUAUAAAGGGUAUACUGCAAAUCUUCAAGGCUAACGGUCAUGACGGCAGUCUGAGUGCCAUUUAAAAGAAUAAUAAUUUAUGAGGCGCCUUGGUAGAAUAGCAAAGGUCACAGAGUAGACUCCCCAGGGAGGAGAGGAUGACAAAGGUUACAGAG
rnacentral:lncRNA from 1 species